rnacentral:rRNA from 1 species
AUUGAACGCUGGCGGCAGGCCUAACACAUGCAAGUCGAGCGGAUGAAGGGAGCUUGCUCCUGGAUUCAGCGGCGGACGGGUGAGUAAUGCCUAGGAAUCUGCCUGGUAGUGGGGGAUAACGUCCGGAAACGGGCGCUAAUACCGCAUACGUCCUGAUGGAGAAAGUGGGGGAUCUUCGGACCUCACGCUAUCAGAUGAGCCUAGGUCGGAUUAGCUAGUUGGUGGGGUAAAGGCCUACCAAGGCGACGAUCCGUAACUGGUCUGAGAGGAUGAUCAGUCACACUGGAACUGAGACACGGUCCAGACUCCUACGGGAGGCAGCAGUGGGGAAUAUUGGACAAUGGUCGAAAGCCUGAUCCAGCCAUGCCGCGUGUGUGAAGAAGGUCUUCGGAUUGUAAAGCACUUUAAGUUGGGAGGAAGGGCAGUAAGUUAAUACCUUGCUGUUUUGACGUUACCAACAGAAUAAGCACCGGCUAACUUCGUG